rnacentral:rRNA from 1 species
AGAGUUUGAUCAUGGCUCAGAGCGAACGCUGGCGGCAGGCCUAAUACAUGCAAGUCGAGCGCACCUUCGGGUGAGCGGCGGACGGGUGAGUAACACGUGGGAACGUGCCCUUUGGUACGGGAUAACUGAGGGAAACUUCAGCUAAUACCGUACGAGCCCUACGGGGGAAAGAUUUAUCGCCAUUGGAGCGGCCCGCGUUGGAUUAGGUAGUUGGUGAGGUAAAGGCUCACCAAGCCUACGAUCCAUAGCUGGUCUGAGAGGAUGAUCAGCCACACUGGGACUGAGACACGGCCCAGACUCCUACGGGAGGCAGCAGUAGGGAAUCUUGCGCAAUGGGCGAAAGCCUGACGCAGCCAUGCCGCGUGAAUGAUGAAGGUCUUAGGAUUGUAAAAUUCUUUCACCGGGGAAGAUAAUGACGGUACCCGGAGAAGAAGCCCCGGCUAACUUCGUGCCAGCAGCCGCGGUAAUACGAAGGGGGCUAGCGUUGCUCGGAAUUACUGGGCGUAAAGGGCGCGUAGGCGGACAGUUUAGUCAGAGGUGAAAGCCCAGGGCUCAACCUUGGAAUUGCCUUUGAUACUGGCUGUCUUGAGUUCGGGAGAGGUGAGUGGAAUGCCGAGUGUAGAGGUGAAAUUCGUAGAUAUUCGGCGGAACACCAGUGGCGAAGGCGACUCACUGGCCCGAUACUGACGCUGAGGCGCGAAAGCGUGGGGAGCAAACAGGAUUAGAUACCCUAGUAGUCC